AAUCAACGCUGGCGGCGUGCCUCAGACAUGCAAGUCGAACGAUUAAGACUCUCUUCGGAGAGUGCAUAAAGUGGCGCACGGGUGAGUAACACGUAAGUAAUCUACCCUCGAGUGGGGAAUAACGUCCGGAAACGGACGCUAAUACCGCAUAAUGCAGCGGCACCGCAAGGUGACAGUUGUUAAAGAUUUAUCGCUUGGGGAGGAGCUUGCGGCAGAUUAGCUAGUUGGUAAGGUAAUGGCUUACCAAGGCUACGAUCUGUAACCGGUCUAAGAGGACGGUCGGUCACACUGACACUGAAUAACGGGUCAGACUCCUACGGGAGGCAGCAGUCGGGAAUUUUGGGCAAUGGGCGAAAGCCUGACCCAGCAACGCCGCGUGAAGGAUGAAGUAUUUCGGUAUGUAAACUUCGAAAGAAUGGAAGAAUUAAUGACGGUACCAUUUAUAAGGUCCGGCUAACUACGUGCCAGCCGCCGCCGUAA
rnacentral:rRNA from 1 species